UACCAUCACCCCGAGUGGUCGGGACGAUUAUUGGGCCUAAAGCAUCCGUAGCCGGUUCUACAAGUCUUCCGUUAAAUCCACCUGCUUAACAGAUGGGCUGCGGAGGAUACUAUGGAGCUAGGAGGCGGGAGAGGCAAGCGGUACUUAGUGGGUAGGGGUAAAAUCCAUUGAUCUACUGAAGACCACCAGUGGCGAAGGCGGUUUGCCAGAACGCGCUCGACGGUGAGGGAUGAAAGCUGGGGGAGCAAACCGG
rnacentral:rRNA from 1 species